AACAACAAGACGGAUAUCUGGGGUCUGGGUUGUGUCCUGUAUGAACUCUGCUGCCUGAGGCAUCCAUUUGAUGGCAGCAGCCUGCGGCA